rnacentral:rRNA from 1 species
GACGAACGCUGGCGGCGUGCUUAACACAUGCCAGUCGAACGGUGAAGCGCCUUCCUUUUUGGUGGGUGUGGAUGAGUGGCGAACGGGUGAGUAACACGUGAGUAACCUGCCCCCUUCUUCUGGAUAACCGCAUGAAAGUGUGGCUAAUACGGGAUAUUCUGGGUCUGUCGCAUGAUGGGUCUGGGAAAGAUAUUGUUUCGGUGGGGGAUGGGCUCGCGGCCUAUCAGCUUGUUGGUGGGGUGAUGGCCUACCAAGGCGGUGACGGGUAGCCGGCCUGAGAGGGUGGACGGUCACACUGGGACUGAGACACGGCCCAGACUCCUACGGGAGGCAGCAGUGGGGAAUAUUGCACAAUGGGCGCAAGCCUGAUGCAGCGACGCCGCGUGAGGGAUGGAGGCCUGCGGGUUGCGAACCUCUUUCGCCAGUGAAGCAGGCCUGCCUCGUUUGUGGGUGGGUUGACGGUAGCUGGAUAAGAAGCGCCGGCUAACUACGUG